rnacentral:rRNA from 1 species
AUGUCGACCGGGACUCCGAGCGAGUCAUUGAAGUGGAGUCUAUUGCCUAGUGUACAAAGCUUGGCGAAUAAGGUGUGGGAAAGACUGGUGGCAGCCGCCGCGGUAACACCAGCGCCUCGAGUGGUACCCACGAAUACUGGGCCUAAAGCGUCCGUAGCCGGCUUGAUAAGUCUUCUGUGAAAUAGUGGGGCUUAACCCUACUGCGCGCAGGAGAUACUGUUUAGCUUGGGAACGGGGGAGGUCAGGAGUACAUCCGGGGUAGGGGUAAAAUCCGUUGAGCCUGGAUGGACUACCAGUGGCGAAGGCGCCUGGCCAAAACGUGUCCGACGGUGAGGGACGAAAGCUGGGGGAGCGAACGGGAUUAGAUACCCCGGUAGUCCCAGCUGUAAAUGAUGCGGACUGUGGUGUUGCUUCAGAGUUAAUCUGCAGCAGUGCUGUAGCGUAGGUGUUAAGUCCGCCGCCUGGGGAGUACGGUCGCAAGAUUGAAACUUAAAGGAAU